rnacentral:rRNA from 1 species
UACAGAGGGCAGCCAAGUCGUGAGGCGGAGCAAAUCCCAAAAAUAACGUCUCAGUUCGGAUUGUAGUCUGCAACUCGACUACAUGAAGCUGGAAUCGCUAGUAAUCGCGAAUCAGAAUGUCGCGGUGAAUACGUUCCCGGGUCUUGUACACACCGCCCGUCACACCAUGGGAGUCAGCAACGCCCGAAGCCGGUGACCCAACCGAAAGGAGGGAGCCGUCGAAGGUGGGGCCGAUAACUGGGGUGAAGUCGUAACAAGGUACC